CCACCGCUGAAGGGACAGUGAUCAUCACCAACACACAUCGGUGAAGACGAUUUUCAGGUGUUAGCAAGAGCAGCUGACAUCAAAAGAACACUACUGCUUCCUGACUCUCCGAGACUAAUUGUCUUAGGUGAAGUGCUCACAGCAACUCAAUGGAUGCUGAGCAUUGAGGGUCAGGUGGUUGUGCCUCCACAUCCCAACUUUGUGGCUGGAAUGGCAGCAUUCUUUUCAAGCUAUUACAACUUGAAUCUGGUGUACAAGGAGCAAGCAGUCGGGAAAUCUCCAACCAGAGUACCUGCUGCCUGAGGCUAUGUUGAUGCAAUUA